CAAGCUGGCUGGGCAGUCGCUGUUUAGUCGCUUUAAGUGAUUAAGCGGAGGAAAGUCCGGGCUCCAUAGGGUAGAACGCCAGGUAACGCCUGGGAGGUGUAAGCCUACGGAAAGUGCCGCAGAGAGUAGACCGCCUAAGACAGUAAAUAUACUGAACGGUAAGGGUGAAAGGGUGCGGUAAGAGCGCACCGCAUGGCUGGCAACAGCUUAUGGCAAGGUAAACCCCGUUCGGAGCAAGACCAAAUAGGAAUUCAAUGGUGUGACCCGCGCUGAAUUCGGGUAGGUUGCUUGAGGUGUAUGGCGACAUACACCCUAGAUGAAUGACUGCUAUGCCUGUUUUUUUCAGGUAGACAGAACCCGGCUUAUAGGCCAGCUUGCAUU
rnacentral:RNase_P_RNA from 1 species